rnacentral:rRNA from 1 species
UGCAAGUCGACGCUAAUUUCAGGGUAGCAAUAUUCUGAGGUUGGAGUGGCGCAAGGGUGCGUAACACGUGGGUAAUUUGCCGCGAAGUUGGGGAUAACUCGCUGAAAGGCGAGCUAAUACCGAAUGUGGUCACCGGGAGGCAUCUUCCGGUGUCUAAAGUUGGGGACCGCAAGGCCUGACGCUUCACGAUAAGCCCGCGGCCUAUCAGCUAGUUGGUGAGGUAACGGCUCACCAAGGCUAAGACGGGUAGCUGGUCUGAGAGGACGACCAGUCACACUGGAACUGAGACACGGUCCAGACACCUACGGGUGGCAGCAGUCGAGAAUUUUUCUCAAUGGGCGAAAGCCUGAAGGAGCGACGCCGCGUGGGGGAUGAAGGGCUUCGGCCCGUAAACCCCUGUCAUUUGCGAACAAACCUUCCGACCCAACACGUCGGAAGCUGAUUGUAGCGAAAGAGGAAGGGACGGCUAACUCUGUGCCAGCAGCCGCGGUAAUACAGAGGUCCCAAGCGUUGUUCGGAUUCACUGGGCGUAAAGGGUGCGUAGGUGGCAGGGUAAGUUUGAUGUGAAAUCUCCGGGCUUAACCCGGAAACUGCAUUGAAUACUAUCCUGCUCGAGGGUUGGAGGGGGGACUGGAUUCUCGGUGUAGCAGUGAAAUGCGUAGAUAUCGAGAGGAACACCAGUGGCGAGCGAGUCCCUGGACAACUCCUGACACUGAGGCACGAAAGCUAGGGGAGCAAACAGGAUUAGAUACCCUGGGUAUCCUAGCCGUAAACGUGCAUAUUUGCUGUAAAAGGAUCGACCCCUUUUGGGCG